rnacentral:rRNA from 1 species
GAUGAACGCUGGCGGCGUGCCUAAUACAUGCAAGUCGAGCGAAUGGAUUAAGAGCUUGCUCUUAUGAAGUUAGCGGCGGACGGGUGAGUAACACGUGGGUAACCUGCCCAUAAGACUGGGACAACUCCGGGAAACCGGGCUAAUACCGGAUAAUAUUUUGAACUGCAUGGUUCAAAAUUGAAAGGCGGCUUCGGCUGUCACUUAUGGCUGGACCCGCGUCGCAUUAGCUAGUUGGUGAGGUAACGGCUCACCAAGGCAACGAGGCGUAGCCGACCUGGGAGGGUGAUCGGCCACACUGGGACUGAGACACGGCCCAGACUCCUACGGGAGGCAGCAGUAGGGAAUCUUACGCAAUGGACGAAAGUCUGACGGAGCAACGCCGCGUGAGUGAUGAAGGCUUUCGGGUCGUAAAACUCUGUUGUUAGGGAAGAACAAGUGCUAGUUGAAUAAGCUGGCACCUUGACGGUACCUAACCAGGAAGCCACGGCUAACUACGUGCCAGCAGCCGGACGUAA